rnacentral:rRNA from 1 species
UGAGGAAUAUUGCGCAAUGGGGGCAACCCUGACGCAGCAACGUCGCGUGAGUGAGGAAGGUUUUCGGACCGUAAAGCUCUGUCGAGCGGGAAGAAAUGCAUGGUGGCUAAUAUCCAUCAUGCUUGACGGUACCGCUAAAGGAAGCACCGGCUAACUCCGUGCCAGCAGCCGCGGUAAUACGGGGGGGGCGAGCGGUGGUCGGAAUGAUUGGGCGUAAAGAGCGUGUAGGCGGCCGAAUAAGUCAGAUGUGAAAUCCCUGGGCUUAACCCAGGACGUGCAUUUGAAACUAUUCGGCUAGAGUAGGGGAGAGGAAAGUGGAAUUCCUGGUGUAGAGGUGAAAUUCGUCGAUAUCAGGAGGAACACCGGUGGCGAAGGCGACUUUCUGGCCCUAUACUGACGCUGAGACGCGAGAGCGUGGGUAGCAGACAG